rnacentral:rRNA from 1 species
AUUGAACGCUGGCGGCAUGCUUUACACAUGCAAGUCGAACGGCAGCACGGGUGCUUGCACCUGGUGGCGAGUGGCGAACGGGUGAGUAAUAUAUCGGAACGUGCCCUAGAGUGGGGGACAACCAGUCGAAAGAUUGGCUAAUACCGCAUACGAUCUAAGGAUGAAAGUGGGGGACCUUCGGGCCUCAUGCUCCUGGAGCGGCCGAUAUCUGAUUAGCUAGUUGGUGGGGUAAAGGCCUACCAAGGCGACGAUCAGCAGCUGGUCUGAGAGGACGAUCAGCCACACUGGGACUGAGACACGGCCCAGACUCCUACGGGAGGCAGCAGUGGGGAAUUUUGGACAAUGGGGGCAACCCUGAUCCAGCAAUGCCGCGUGAGUGAAGAAGGCCUUCGGGUUGUAAAGCACUUUAAGCGAGGAGGAGGCUCUUUUGGUUAAUACCCAAGAUGAGUGGACGUUACUCACAGAAUAAGCACCGGCUAACUCUGUGCCAGCCGCCGCAGUAA